CCCGUACACAAAAAUGCACAUAUUGUGAGCUCGAUGAGUAGGGCGGGACACGUGGUAUCCUGUCUGAAUAUGGGGGGACCAUCCUCCAAGGCUAAAUACUCCUGACUGACCGAUAGUGAACCAGUACCGUGAGGGAAAGGCGAAAAGAACCCCGGCGAGGGGAGUGAAAAAGAACCUGAAACCGUGUACGUACAAGCAGUGGGAGCCUCUUAAUGGGGUGACUGCGUACCUUUUGUAUAAUGGGUCAGCGACUUAUAUUCUGUAGCAAGGUUAACCGAAUAGGGGAGCCGAAGGGAAACCGAGUCUUAACUGGGCGUUAAGUUGCAGGGUAUAGACCCGAAACCCGGUGAUCUAGCCAUGGGCAGGUUGAAGGUUGGGUAACACUAACUGGAGGACCGAACCGACUAAUGUUGAAAAAUUAGCGGAUGACUUGUGGCUGGGGGUGAAAGGCCAAUCAAACCGGGAGAUAGCUGGUUCUCCCCGAAAGCUAUUUAGGUAGCGCCUCGUGAAUUCAUCUCCGGGGGUAGAGCACUGUUUCGGCAAGGGGGUCAUCCCGACUUACCAACCCGAUGCAAACUGCGAAUACCGGAGAAUGUUAUCACGGGAGACACACGGCGGGUGCUAACGUCCGUCGUGAAGAGGGAAACAACCCAGACCGCCAGCUAAGGUCCCAAAGUCAUGGUUAAGUGGGAAACGAUGUGGGAAGGCCCAGACAGCCAGGAUGUUGGCUUAGAAGCAGCCAUCAUUUAAAGAAAGCGUAAUAGCUCACUGGUCGAGUCGGCCUGCGCGGAAGAUGUAACGGGGCUAAACCAUGCACCGAAGCUGCGGCAGCGACACUAUGUGUUGUUGGGUAGGGGAGCGUUCUGUAAGCCUGUGAAGGUGUACUGUGAGGUAUGCUGGAGGUAUCAGAAGUGCGAAUGCUGACAUAAGUAACGAUAAAGCGGGUGAAAAGCCCGCUCGCCGGAAGACCAAGGGUUCCUGUCCAACGUUAAUCGGGGCAGGGUGAGUCGACCCCUAAGGCGAGGCCGAAAGGCGUAGUCGAUGGGAAACAGGUUAAUAUUCCUGUACUUGGUGUUACUGCGAAGGGGGGACGGAGAAGGCUAUGUUGGCCGGGCGACGGUUGUCCCGGUUUAAGCGUGUAGGCUGGUUUUCCAGGCAAAUCCGGAAAAUCAAGGCUGAGGCGUGAUGACGAGGCACUACGGUGCUGAAGCGACAAAUGCCCUGCUUCCAGGAAAAGCCUCUAAGCAUCAGGUAACAUCAAAUCGUACCCCAAACCGACACAGGUGGUCAGGUAGAGAAUACCAAGGCGCUUGAGAGAACUCGGGUGAAGGAACUAGGCAAAAUGGUGCCGUAACUUCGGGAGAAGGCACGCUGAUAUGUAGGUGAAGCGACUUGCUCGUGGAGCUGAAAUCAGUCGAAGAUACCAGCUGGCUGCAACUGUUUAUUAAAAACACAGCACUGUGCAAACACGAAAGUGGACGUAUACGGUGUGACGCCUGCCCGGUGCCGGAAGGUUAAUUGAUGGGGUUAGCGGUAACGCGAAGCUCUUGAUCGAAGCCCCGGUAAACGGCGGCCGUAACUAUAACGGUCCUAAGGUAGCGAAAUUCCUUGUCGGGUAAGUUCCGACCUGCACGAAUGGCGUAAUGAUGGCCAGGCUGUCUCCACCCGAGACUCAGUGAAAUUGAACUCGCUGUGAAGAUGCAGUGUACCCGCGGCAAGACGGAAAGACCCCGUGAACCUUUACUAUAGCUUGACACUGAACAUUGAGCCUUGAUGUGUAGGAUAGGUGGGAGGCUUUGAAGUGUGGACGCCAGUCUGCAUGGAGCCGACCUUGAAAUACCACCCUUUAAUGUUUGAUGUUCUAACGUGGGCCCCUUACCGGGGUUGCGGACAGUGUCUGGUGGGUAGUUUGACUGGGGCGGUCUCCUCCUAAAGAGUAACGGAGGAGCACGAAGGUUGGCUAAUCCUGGUCGGACAUCAGGAGGUUAGUGCAAUGGCAUAAGCCAGCUUGACUGCGAGCGUGACGGCGCGAGCAGGUGCGAAAGCAGGUCAUAGUGAUCCGGUGGUUCUGAAUGGAAGGGCCAUCGCUCAACGGAUAAAAGGUACUCCGGGGAUAACAGGCUGAUACCGCCCAAGAGUUCAUAUCGACGGCGGUGUUUGGCACCUCGAUGUCGGCUCAUCACAUCCUGGGGCUGAAGUAGGUCCCAAGGGUAUGGCUGUUCGCCAUUUAAAGUGGUACGCGAGCUGGGUUUAGAACGUCGUGAGACAGUUCGGUCCCUAUCUGCCGUG
rnacentral:rRNA from 1 species